CCUGGGAUGACCCAGUUCCCUCAUUUUGCGUGGAGCGGCAUUUAAAAGAUCUUGUUCGAUUUGAAGACACAGAAUAUGAUAUCUGUCUCAAAAAUGAAAAAAGAUUUGAAGUAAAGAAAUAAUACAUCAAGUGACAACGGAACAUUGGUGUCCAUCGUAACUG